GCCCUUGGUGGCUCAGAUGGAUAGAGCAUCUACCAUGUAAGCAGGAGGUCCCAGGUUCAAGUCCUGGUCAGGGCA